rnacentral:rRNA from 1 species
UACGUAGGGCGCAAGCGUUGUCCGGAAUUAUUGGGCGUAAAGAGCUCGUAGGCGGCUUGUCACGUCGGAUGUGAAAGCCCCGGGGCUUAACCCCGGGUCUGCAUUCGAUACGGGCUAGCUAGAGUGUGGUAGGGGAGAUCGGAAUUCCUGGUGUAGCGGUGAAAUGCGCAGAUAUCAGGAGGAACACCGGUGGCGAAGGCGGAUCUCUGGGCCGUAACUGACGCUGAGGAGCGAAAGCAUGGGGAGCGAACAGG